rnacentral:rRNA from 1 species
GACGAACGCUGGCGGCGUGCUUAACACAUGCAAGUCGAACGGAAAGGCCCUGCUUUUGUGGGGUGCUCGAGUGGCGAACGGGUGAGUAACACGUGAGUAACCUGCCCUUGACUUUGGGAUAACUUCAGGAAACUGGGGCUCUUCCGGCAAAGGAUUUAUCGCGCCUGGUGGGGGGUUGGAAGGUUUCGCGGGUGGGGAAUGGAAUCGCGGCUUAUGAGCUUGUUGGUGGGGUGGUGGCUUACCAAGGCUUUGACGGGUGGCCGGCCUGAGAGGGUGAGCGGCCACAUCGGGACUGAGAUACGGCCCAGACUCCUACGGGAGGCAGCAGUGGGGAAGAUUGCACAAUGGGCUGAAGCCUGGUGCAGCAACGCCGCGUGCGGGAUGACGGCCUUCGGGUUGUGAACCGCUUUCGCCUGUGACGAAGCGUGAGUGACGGUAAUGGGUAAAGAAGCACCGGCUAACUACGUG